GGCGAACGGGUGAGUAACACGUGAGAAACCUGCCCCGGGCUUUGGGAUAACAGCGGGAAACCGCUGCUAAUACCAGAUAUCCUCCCUCAACCGCAUGGUGGAGGGAGAAAAGGUCCGCUGGCCCGGGAUGGUCUCGCGGCCCAUCAGCUUGUUGGCGGGGUAACGGCCCACCAAGGCAGCGACGGGUAGCUGGUGUGAGAGCAUGACCAGCCACACUGGGACUGAGACACGGCCCAGACUCCUACGGGAGGCAGCAGUGGGGAAUCUUGCGCAAUGGGCGAAAGCCUGACGCAGCGACGCCGCGUGAGGGAUGAAGGCCUUCGGGUUGUAAACCUCUUUCAGCGGGGACGAAGCGAAAGUGACGGUACCCGCAGAAGAAGCCCCGGCCAACUACGUGCCAGCAGCCGCGGUAAUACGUAGGGGGCAAGCGUUGUCCGGAUUUAUUGGGCGUAAAGAGCUCGUAGGCGGCUUUGUAAGUCGGAUGUGAAAUCUCAUGGCUUAACCGUGAGCGGCCAUUCGAUACUGCAAGGCUAGAGGCCGGUAGGGGGACAUGGAAUUCCUGGUGUAGCGGUGAAAUGCGCAGAUAUCAGGAGGAACACCGGUGGCGAAGGCGGUGUCCUGGGCCGGUCCUGACGCUGAGGAGCGAAAGCUGGGGGAGCAAACAGGAUUAGAUACCCUGGUAGUCCCAGCCGUAAACGAUGGGUGCUAGGUGUGGGAGGCUAUCGACGCUUUCCGUGCCGCAGCUAACGCAUUAAGCACCCCGCCUGGGGAGUACGGCCGCAAGGCUAAAACUCAAAGGAAUUGACGGGGACCCGCAC
rnacentral:rRNA from 1 species